UACAGAGGCCUCGAGCGUUAGGCGGAAUCACUGGGCUUAAAGCGCGUGUAGGCGGAUCGUUAAGUGUCUUGUGAAAUCCCACGGCUCAACCGUGGAACUGCUGGGCAUACUGGCGAUCUUGGGCCACUCAGGGGCGACCGGAACAAGCGGUGGAGCGGUGAAAUGCGUAGAUAUCGCUUGGAACGCCAAAGGUGAAGACAGGUCGCUGGGGGUGUGCCGACGCGUGGAGACGGCGAAAGCCAGGGGAGCAAACGGG
rnacentral:rRNA from 1 species